rnacentral:rRNA from 1 species
AUACGUAGGUGGCGAGCGUUGUCCGGAAUUACUGGGCGUAAAGGAUGCGUAGGUGGAUACUUAAGUGGGAUGUGAAAUCCCCGGGCUCAACCCGGGAACUGCAUUCCAAACUGGGUAUCUAGAGUGCAGGAGAGGAAAGCGGAAUUCCUAGUGUAGCGGUGAAAUGCGUAGAUAUUAGGAGGAACACCAGUGGCGAAGGCGGCUUUCUGGACUGUAACUGACACUGAGGCAUGAAAGCGUGGGUAGCAAACAGGAUUAGAUACCCUGGUAGUCCACGCCGUAAACGAUGGGUACUAGGUGUAGGAGGUAUCGACCCCUUCUGUGCCGUCGUUAACACAAUAAGUACCCCGCCUGGGGAGUACGGUCGCAAGACUAAAACUCAAAGGAAUUGACGGGG